AACAAGUUUACAGGAUUUAACACCUGGUUCUACACUGAACACAGUUGUUAAGAAACAUAAAUGGUGUAAAGAUGUUCUGGCUAUCUCAAACAAAUUUAUUCUUCGUCCCGAAUAUGCACCGGAAGAAACAACAGGUGGUCAAGGUGUUGAUGGUGUUGGUGUAGGGAACAACGUCACUAUAACAAAGACAAUAUAUGCAUAUCCAGUUCCUAUCAUUGUACAUGGUUCUAUUAAAGCACCAAAUGGAACUGAUAGAGACCAUAUCAAUUUUAAUCUAAUAAACACAAGUAAAUCCCACCAUUACAAAGUAGAACUAAGAGUUGAUGUUCAUUGCACAGAA